rnacentral:rRNA from 1 species
AUUGAACGCUGGCGGCAGGCCUAACACAUGCAAGUCGAGCGGAGCGGCGGGCGGGUGAGUAAUGUAUGGGGAUCUGCCCGAUAGAGGGGGAUAACUACUGGAAACGGUGGCUAAUACCGCAUACUAUCAGAUGAGCCUAGGUCGGAUUAGCUAGUUGGUGGGGUAAAGGCCUACCAAGGCGACGAUCCGUAACUGGUCUGAGAGGAUGAUCAGUCACACUGGAACUGAGACACGGUCCAGACUCCUACGGGAGGCAGCAGUGGGGAAUAUUGGACAAUGGGCGAAAGCCUGAUCCAGCCAUGCCGCGUGUGUGAAGAAGGUCUUCGGAUUGUAAAGCACUUUAAGUUGGGAGGCGUUACCAACAGAAUAAGCACCGGCUAACUUCGUGCCAGCAGCCGCGGUAAUAC